rnacentral:rRNA from 1 species
GACGAACGCUGGCGGCGUGCUUAACACAUGCAAGUCGAACGGAAAGGCUCCAGCUUGCUGGAGUACUCGAGUGGCGAACGGGUGAGUAACACGUGGGUGAUCUGCCCUGCACUUCGGGAUAAGCCUGGGAAACUGGGUCUAAUACCGGAUAGGACCGCACUUUGGUGUGUGUGGUGGAAAGGUUUUUCUGGUGUGGGAUGAGCUCGCGGCCUAUCAGUUUGUUGGUGGGGUAAUGGCCUACCAAGACGGCGACGGGUAGCCGGCCUGAGAGGGUGGACGGUCACAGUGGGACUGAGAGACGGCCCAGACGCCGACGGGAGGAAGCAGUGGGGAAGAUUGCACAAGGGGGGAAACCCGGAUGCAGCGACGCCGCGGGGGGGAUGAAGGCCUUAGGGUUGUAAAAUCCGUUCGCUAGGGACGAAGCUUUUUGUGACGGUACCUGGAGAAGAAGCACCGGCUAACUACGUG